rnacentral:lncRNA from 1 species
CUAACCCCCAUCCCGCGCAUCCAAAAUCCAGCCAUUACAAAAAAAACCUGCAACAACUCGAGGUUGUCCGCUGAUUUGAUGUGUUUAUUUUUCGUACAUAUACCAUACUGCCACAAUUUUUUGUGGCACGCUUUCGGGGAAGGCUCGAAAGAUCAGUGCCGACCGCACCCCCGCGCGGACUCCCGAAGACGGUGCGAAGCCUCCCUGGAGUCCGCCAACGGAAUCGCCCAGCGCGACGCUUCUCGCUGCAACAGUAAUCUCAAUCAAUAGCUUUACAUUCCCGGAAUCGUUAGGAACGCACCCGAUAUGCAAAAUGCGGCAAGGCGUGAGUCCCUACCUCGCGAUAGCGCCUUCGGGAGUCCGCG